rnacentral:lncRNA from 1 species
UAAUAUUCAAAUUCGUUUUUUUAUGGUUUGUUAUUUUUCAAAUAUAUUUCUUUACAAAAUCAAAACUAAAUCCACUUAUAAUCUAUCCAUAUUAGGGUUUUAUUUAGAUUUUGAAUUUCUCUAUACAAAUCGGCCAUCCCAACACAGAUUGGGAAAAAAAAAAAACGAACACACUUUUUUCCAAAUUUUGCAAACUAAAGUUUUCAUUCUGUCAGAUUUUUUUAAAAAAGCCACACGUUCAUUUAUGGCGUCUGCCGCUGAGAAAAAUAAAGUUCUGACUGGAAUCUUCGGUGAAGUCCCGCCG